rnacentral:lncRNA from 10 species
GGAAUCCGUUUCCUCUCCGCAUCAGUGGCAGAGAUGUCCCUGCCCCAACCGGUGGGUGUGCGGAUUCUGUGCGGAUUCGCACGGUGUUUGGCACGUGACAGGGUCUCACUGUGUCACCAAGGCUGGCUCAAUCACGGCUCACUGCAGCCUCGACCUCCUGUGUUCAAGCGAUCCUCCUGCCUCAGCCUCCCGAGUAGCUGGGACUAUAGGGGUGCACCACCAUGCCCAGGUUGACAAACAUGGUGUCAGAAGUGGGAUCUGAAGCAUAAUCAUUUUCAGAAUAAACUGGUGAUUCUUGGAACCAGGGUGCAGUACUCCCUUGAGGCCUUUCAGCUCUCUACUUCCACGGCUCUCCUUUUUCUGCCCUGGUGAGUCUUCUCUCAAGCCAAGCCUCCCUCUUUUUGGCAGAUGCUCUUUAACUUUGUUUGGGAUGUGAUUUGAGUAACAUCACCUUAAUAAAGAGUGUUGCAUCCCUUCU